UUCUUGGUCAUUUAGAGGAAGUAAAAGUCGUAACAAGGUUUCCGUAGGUGAACCUGCGGAAGGAUCAUUACAGAAUGUUCAGAGGCGGCUGCUGCUGGCGGAAAAAGAAAACCGCAUGUGCGCGUCGUCCUCGCCUUCAUCCAACACACACUUGUGCACCACAGGGCGAGCGCCUUCCAUGAGGAGCCGUCCCGCGUAACCCGAAAGGGGGGCGGGACUGAGGCCUCGAUCCCUUUUCCAUUACCACCGCCUGUCUUAUACGCAUGUGAUGAAUUUCUAACGAAAUACAACUUUCAACAACGGAUCUCUUGGCUUUCGCAUCGAUGAAGGACGCCGCGAAAGUGCGAAACGUAAUGUGAAUUGCAGAAUUCAGUGAAUCAUCGAAUCUUUGAACGCAUCUUGCGCUCCUUGGUAUUCCGAGGAGCAUGCCUGUUUGAGUGUCGUGAACUCUCUCGACCUCCCACCUUUUCGGAGGUGAGGGGUUCGGAUUUGGAUGUUGUCGGCUCCCGAGUGGGGUCGACUCGUCUUGAAAUGCAUCAGCUGGUUCCGCCGCGCGAGCUCGAUUCGACAACGGUGUGAUAAGUAAACUCUUUGACGCCGCUUCGAGUCUGGUCUCGUGUCCGGACGGGUGACCGCUUCCAAUCGUCUUUGGACAAUCAUACUUCAUGUCAUCUGACCUCAAAUCAGGUAGGACUACCCGCUGAACUUAAGCAUAUCAAUAAGCGGAGGAA
rnacentral:rRNA from 1 species